rnacentral:lncRNA from 1 species
GGACUCGAGGCAACCGGUGAGAGUGAGCCUCGUCGUCGAGGAGUGAGCACGCCGCGCUUUGGACGGCUGAAGACUUGGCCUGAUAGCUGGGGUGUGGAAUCGUGACAUCUUCGAAGAACUGUUGCUGUAACACUUGGUAUAUUUGGAACUUAUAGCAUACACAAUCCACAAAGCAUAGGAUACUGUGAAGCAGAUUUUUGCUUUAGAAUAAAAAAAGCUGUGAUAC